rnacentral:lncRNA from 1 species
CCGCCGAUUCUACGCCGCCCGGUCGCCAGGGAGAGUGAAUACAGCUAGGGACGUGAAAGAACGGGGAAGAUAACCGAAGGGUGGUUUGAGAAACCCACCAGGCCAACUGGGAAUUAGAAUUGAUUCAAAACUCCAUUGAUCGCCUGACCUCCAUAAGCUCCUACUCUGCUGCAGUUGAGUGCUGCCACUUAAAUCCUGCAGUCCCGAGAUCCGGUUAUAACCAAUGCAUUUAGAUUUUUCAUUUCGGUGGCAACAAUCUUCAUUGUAAGUUCUGUCCUACAGAGAAGUGUGGUGAUCAAGCUCUUUGGAGAUACUGGGACUCCUCUCACAAAUGUAUGUCUCACAGUUAUGAUGAAUGGUGUAUCUCCUGGAUCUUCCUCAGUUGAGUAUGUUUUAAAGGAAAAAUACACUUUAUCAUUCAAAUCUUUCAAA